GACGAACGCUGGCGGCGCGCUUAACACAUGCAAGUCGAGCGAUAACCAUGGCUUCGGCCAUGGGCAGAGCGGCGAACGGGUGAGUAACACGUGAGCGAUCUGCCCUCGACACCGGGAUAGCCCGGGGAAACCCGGAUUAAUACCGGAUGGCCUCUCGAGCCCACGGGCUCGUUAGAAAAGAUGGCUUCGGCUUUCGGUCGAGGAGGAGCUUGCGGCGGAUUAGCUUGUUGGUGGGGUAACGGCGCACCAAGGCGACGAUCCGUAGCUGGUCUGAGAGGACGAUCAGCCACACUGGGACUGGGACACGGCCCAGACUCCUACGGGAGGCAGCAGUGGGGAAUCUUGCGCAAUGGGCGAAAGCCUGACGCAGCGACGCCGCGUGAAGGAAGAAGGCCUUCGGGUUGUAAACCUCUUUCAGGAGGGACGAAGCCACUCGGGUUAAUACCCCAGAGGGUGACGGUACCUCCAGGAGGAAGCCACGGCUAACUACGUGCCAGCCGCCGCGGUAACAC
rnacentral:rRNA from 1 species